rnacentral:rRNA from 1 species
GACGAACGCUGGCGGCGUGCUUAACACAUGCAAGUCGAACGCUGAAGCUCAGCUUUUGUUGGGUGGAUGAGUGGCGAACGGGUGAGUAACACGUGAGUAACCUGCCCCCUUCUUUGGGAUAACGCCCGGAAACGGGUGCUAAUACUGGAUAUUCACUGGUCUUCGCAUGGGGGUUGGUGGAAAGGGUUUUUCUGGUGGGGGAUGGGCUCGCGGCCUAUCAGCUUGUUGGUGGGGUGAUGGCCUACCAAGGCUUUGACGGGUAGCCGGCCUGAGAGGGUGACCGGGCACAUUGGGACUGAGAUACGGCCCAGACUCCGACGGGGGGGAGCAGUGGGGAAUAUUGCACAAUGGGCGCAAGCCUGAUGCAGCGACGCCGCGUGAGGGAUGGAGGCCUUCGGGUUGUGAACCUCUUUCGCUCAUGGUCAAGCCGCAACAAUGGUUGUGGUGAGGGUAGUGGGUAAAGAAGCGCCGGCUAACUACGUG